UUAUUAUUGUGUGUUGCCGUAGUUGCAAAGGUCAAGCCAUUUUUAUAGUUAAAGGGAAAUCAGAAGUGCUUGUCGUCACCCGAGAGCUCUUCCAACAGAGACAGGAGCUGAUGCGUGGGGCUGCCACUCUCGGCUCUCCUGACACUUUGGGCUGAGCGGGGAAGGCUGCAAACUGGUUAACUGCUCUUCUUUUUUUCUUUUUCAAUCCCACCAUCGAGGAACAAAGUGGAGAAGGCAGAAGCCCCUCAGAUUGAGGUUUCUGAAAGUUAUCUUCCAUGGCAGGAAUAAACAGAAACUUUUUUUCCUGAGGGUAGUUUUUAUUUUUUUUUUUAUUAUUAUUUUUUUUAUUUUGAGAGAGAGCGUACAAACUACAGGAGAAGAGGGAAAUUUUCUCAUUAAAGUUACAUCCCUGCAGUUAGUUCAAUUACUUGAUAUAUGCAGAAGAUGUUGUAAAUUUAAAGAUUUAAAUAGCUUACAAAGAUGCCAGAGGCUCCAUCAGUUAAUUUCCUUAAUUUAUGGAUUUUUAGCUGAGCUUCUGAAAUGAAAAGGAGAAUGAGAACUAGGUCAGCUGAGAGAUUUGCAUCCAGUACAGACUCAGAUUUGUUUGCCUUGACCAUCCUACCAGCCCAGAUCAAAGCAAAGACACAAUAGCAGCUGAGGAUGAAAAAGACAAGCAUAUUGAUUGCAGGCAACUUGUUCGGCAUUGUUUUUAUGGUGUCUAGAAAAGGACAAUGUUCUUGAGAGGAUUUUUUUGCCCAUAUGAAUGUAGAAGAUAUUAAAGAUCUUUAACUAUGGAUUGAAAUGGACAGAACCAUUUUGCAUUUCAUCUGGUUCCAUCUUGUUAUCCCAUAGUUUAAAUUUGAUUUUGUUUGUGUCUCUGCUGCCUGUCAUGAAAGUCAAGCCAGAAGAAAAGAGAAGUAAUCUGCAAUAUAUUCUUAGGAUGGCUCUGAUAGAGAAACAGGAAAUGCAGUGAAUACAGCAGCAAGGCAGGCCAUAAGGUAAGAUAUAGAUGGGAGAGUGUUGUUCAUGUGGCUGGGGCUGGCUGAGGGCCACACUUAACUAGUGUAAAUAUAACAUAUGUGGCAGUUCUUUGAAACCUAAGAUCUUCAUUAUGAGUGACACUUCUCCCUGUUCAUGGCUCAGUGGCCAUUGUAUCAUAAAGGUACUUUUGUCUGAUGGAAAAAAGAACUGCUGAGUGAAAAAUGCUUCCGAAGUAAUUUCUGGACCCAAGAAACCUUUGCAGCGUUUAUAAGCAUGGGCAGAACCAGACCUUCUCUCUGGAAAAAUGAGGUUACACAGAGAAGUACAUAAGAGACAAGACCAAGAUGCAGCAGGUCUUGUAACCAGCCCUCAUAUUU